rnacentral:rRNA from 1 species
UACGUAGGGGGCAAGCGUUAUCCGGAUUUACUGGGUGUAAAGGGAGCGUAGACGGCGGUGCAAGCCAGACGUGAAAGCCCGGGGCUCAACCCCGGGACUGCAUUUGGAACUGUGCUGCUAGAGUGUCGGAGAGGCAGGCGGAAUUCCUAGUGUAGCGGUGAAAUGCGUAGAUAUUAGGAGGAACACCAGUGGCGAAGGCGGCCUGCUGGACGAUGACUGACGUUGAGGCUCGAAAGCGUGGGGAGCAAACAGG